GACGUAGGGGGCAAGCGUUGUUCGGAAUUAUUGGGCGUAAAGCGCGCGCAGGCGGUCCUUUAAGUCUGAUGUGAAAGCCCACGGCUCAACCGUGGAGGGUCAUUGGAAACUGGGGAACUUGAGUGCAGAAGAGGAAAGUGGAAUUCCAAGUGUAGCGGUGAAAUGCGUAGAGAUUUGGAGGAACACCAGUGGCGAAGGCGACUUUCUGGUCUGUAACUGACACUGAGGCGCGGAAAGCGUGGGGAGCAAACAGG
rnacentral:rRNA from 1 species